rnacentral:snRNA from 1 species
AUCUUUGUGCUUAGGGCAAUGACGCAGCAGUGAGGUUCUAACCGAGGUGCGUCUGUUGUUGGUUGAAAACUAUUUUUAAAACCCCUCUUCGACCUGAGCUUGUCUUAGGCUGUUGAGAAUUUCUAGAAGGGCUCCCUUUGGGGUAAAGCC